rnacentral:lncRNA from 10 species
GGCCAAGGUGGGCAGAUCACUUGAGAUCAAGAGUUGGAGACCAGCCUGGGCAACAUGGCGAAACCCUGUCUCUACUAAAAAUACAAAAAUUAGCCGAGCAUGGUGGCAUAUGCCUGUAAUCCCAGCUUCUUGGGGUGCUGAGGCACGAGAAUCACUUGAACCCAGGUGGCAGAGGUUGCAGUGAGCUGAGAUGGAAUGCACGACUACAUUUCAGCCUGGGUGACAGAGUGAGACUCUGUCUCCAAAAAUAAAUAGAUAAAAAAUCAUCUCCCACCUUUCUAUACUUUCCUUAUUGUUUCCCAGAGCGCUCCUGUCACUCCACGGCCAUCAGCCCACUCUAGAACGUUUCCCUUAUUUCUCUUAAGCCCGCCCUUUCCCAGUUAUCCUAGGCUUUACACAGUAAUAGGUAUAUACUUCCCCUUAAAACUUACCUCUCCUGUGUCCUUGUACCUCAUGGGGUCACUAAGUCGAUAACUAGUUCUGAUAAUGAGUCAUCCCAAGCCUUAUGCAAAAGCCCCUUUCUCCUUGAUCCACUUUGGUCCAAUGUCUUCUGUUUUGCAUUACCGUCGCAGUCUGCUUCACUGGGUUACAAGCAGCGUGAAGCUCGUUUUGUGUAGUCUGGGCUUUGAUGGCAAACUGCCUUGGUUCGAAUCUUUGCUCUGCCACUUGCUAUAUGUGUAAAACCUUGGCAAAGUAUUUCAUCUUUCUGUGCAAUUAUUUCUUCUACAAAUUAGGGAUAACAGAUCACCUGUCUCAGAGGAUUGUUUUGCAUGUUGUAUUACUGCAUGUAAUGCAGUAACAUGCUGCCUGGCCUGAUACAAGUAUUAUGUUACAAGUAUUAUCAGUAUUAUGUUAUUAUUAUUAUUAUUAUAAUAUGUUAGUAUCAUUAUUGUUGAAAACAGUGACAGUUUUUCUACUCGUCACAGCUCUUGUAUACAAAAUUGGCACUCGAUAAAUGUGUAGUGGAAACAGUCUCAUUGGUUUUCUUCAUUACCAGUCUCAAUGGCUUAAUGUAUUAUUCAUCUCAAAGAAUACUAUACCACAAAUGACUUAACGGACACCUAAUAUAAAUUUGCAAAAGAAUAAUAAUUUUUGCAAUAAUAAAAACAAAGCAU